UAAGGAAUAUUGCUCAAUGGGAGAAAUCCUGAAGCAGCAACGCCGCGUGGAGGAUGAAGGGUCUAUGACUUGUAAACUCCUGUAAAGAAGGAAAAAAUUCCCAUUAGAUGGGAGAUGAUGGUACUUCUGGAGUAAGCCCCGGCUAACUACGUGCCAGCAGCCGCGGUAAUACGUAGGGGGCAAGCGUUGUCCGGAUUUACUGGGUGUAAAGGGCGCGCAGGCGGGAUAAAAAGUCAGUGGUGAAAUCCUACAGCUUAACUGUAGAACUGCCUUUGAUACUUUUAUUCUUGAGUUCGGGAGAGAGAGACGGAAUUCCAGGUGUAGUGGUGAAAUACGUAGAUAUCUGGAAGAACACCUGUUGCGAAGGCGGUCUCUUGGUCCGACACUGACGCUGAGGCGCGAAAGCGUGGGGAGCAAACA
rnacentral:rRNA from 1 species